AGAACGAACGCUGGCGGCAUGCCUAACACAUGCAAGUCGAACGCUUCCGGGGCUUCGGUCGCGGAGGAGUGGCGCACGGGUGAGUAGCGCGUGGGAACCUGCCCUGUUGUGGGGGAUAACCGAGGGAAACUUCGGCUAAUACCGCAUACGCCCCGGGACUUGGUCUUCGGAUUAGGUCUGGGGGGAAAGAUUGAUCGCAGCAGGAGGGGCCCGCGUCGGAUUAGCUGGUUGGUGGGGUAACGGCUCACCAAGGCGAUGAUCCGUAGCUGGUCUGAGAGGAUGAUCAGCCACACUGGGACUGAGACACGGCCCAGACUCCUACGGGAGGCAGCAGUGGGGAAUAUUGGACAAUGGGGGCAACCCUGAUCCAGCAAUGCCGCGUGAGUGAUGAAGGCCUUAGGGUUGUAAAGCUCUUUCGCCCGCGACGAUGAUGACGGUAGCGGGAGAAGAGCCCGGCUAACUUCGUGCCAGCAGCCGC
rnacentral:rRNA from 1 species